ACUUCCUCUUUGCCAGGACAUUUUAGUACAUAGAUGUUUGGAGCAGGGAGUUAGAAUAGAACCUUGCUCUGUCCACUCCACCCAUUGACCUGGUAUUGUAAUACCUUGAGGAAUAGUGCACC
rnacentral:snRNA from 1 species